rnacentral:rRNA from 1 species
GAUUUCUGACGAAACUGCUAGCUGGCCCGCCACGCAAGUGUGUGAGUGCCGGCUUGGCGUUUGUCAUCCGUUCGAAUGAUAUGCGUGCUGCCCUUCACUGGGUUGGCGCUGCAUGUUUUCGAUCUUUUACUUUGAAAAAAUUAGAGUGUUUAAAGCAGGCUUACGCUAUGAAUACAUUAGCAUGGAAUAAUAAUAUAGGACUUUGGUUCUAUUUUGUUGGUUUCUAGGACUGAAGUAAUGAUUGAUAGGGAUAGUUGGGGGUGCUAGUAUUCAGUGGCCAGAGGUGAAAUUCUUGGAUUCACUGAAGACUAACUACUGCGAAAGCAUU